GUAGCUAUAGUUUAAUCAAAACAUUAGAUUGUGAAUCUAAUAUUAGAAGUUAAUAACUUCUUAUCUACC
rnacentral:tRNA from 1 species